rnacentral:rRNA from 1 species
ACGAACGCUGGCGGCAUGCCUAACACAUGCAAGUCGAACGAGACCUUCGGGUCUAGUGGCGCACGGGUGCGUAACGCGUGGGAACCUGCCCUUAGGUUCGGAAUAACUCCCCGAAAGGGGUGCUAAUACCGGAUAAUGUCUUCGGACCAAGGAUUUAUCGCCUUUGGAUGGGCCCGCGUUGGAUUAGCUAGUUGGUAGGGUAAAAGCCUACCAAGGCGACGAUCCAUGGCUGGUCUGAGAGGAUGAUCAGCCACACUGGGACUGAGACACGGCCCAGACUCCUACGGGAGGCAGCAGUGGGGAAUAUUGGACAAUGGGCGAAAGCCUGAUCCAGCAAUGCCGCGUGAGUGAUGAAGGCCUUAGGGUUGUAAAGCUCUUUUACCCGGGAUGAUAAUGACAGUACCGGGAGAAUAAGCUCCGGCUAACUCCGUG